ensembl:lncRNA
GAAGAGAGAGAGAUGAGGUGUUGGGAGAAGAGAGGAAGAGAGAGAUGAGGUGUUGGGAGAAGAGAGAAGAGAGAGAUGAGGUGUUGGGAGAAGAGAGAAGAGAGAGAUGAGGUGUUGGGAGAAGAGAGCAGAGAGAGAUGAGGUGUUGGGAGAAGAGAGAGAGAUAAGGUGUUGAGAGAAUAGAGAGAUGAGGUGUUGGGAGAAGAGAGAGAGAUGAGGUUUUGAGAGAAUAGAGAGAUUAGGUGUUGGGAGAAGAGAGAAGAGAGAAGAGAGAGAUGAGGUGUUGAUAGAAGAGAGAGAUGAGGUGUUGGGAGAAGAGAGGAAGA